UGGGGAAUUUUGCGCAAUGGGCGAAAGCCUGACGCAGCAACGCCGCGUGGGUGAUGAAGGUCUUCGGAUUGUAAAACCCUGUCGCCAGGGACGAAGGGUGCGAGGUGAACAGCCUUGUGCUUUGACGGUACCUGGAAAGGAAGCCCCGGCUAACUCUGUGCCAGCAGCCGCGGUAAUACAGAGGGGGCAAGCGUUAUUCGGAAUUAUUGGGCGUAAAGGGCGCGUAGGCGGUUUUUUAAGUCGGAUGUGCAAUCCCCAGGCUCAACCUGGGAACUGCAUCCGAGACUGGAAGGCUAGAGUACUGGAGAGGGUGGUGGAAUUCCUCGUGUAGCGGUGAAAUGCGUAGAGAUGAGGAGGAACACCAGUGGCGAAGGCGGCCACCUGGACAGUAACUGACGCUGAGGCGCGAAAGCGUGGGUAGCAAACA
rnacentral:rRNA from 1 species